UACGUAGGGCCCGAGCGUUAUCCGGUAUUAUUGGGCGUAAAGAGCGCGUAGGCGGUUAGGUAAGACAGCGGUUAAAGAUCCGAGCCCAACUCGGAGAUCGCCACUGUUACUGCCUGACUAGACGAUAGCAGGGGCAAGCAGAAUUCUCGGUGUAGGAGUGAAAUCCGUUGAGAUCGAGAGGAAUACCAAUGGCGAAGGCAGCUUGCUAGGCUAUAUGUGACGCUGAGGCGCGAAAGCGUGGGGAGCGAAC
rnacentral:rRNA from 1 species